rnacentral:rRNA from 1 species
GACGUAGGAGGCGAGCGUUAUCCGGAUUCACUGGGCGUAAAGCGCAUGUAGGCGGCUGUGCAAGUCGUGUGUUAAAGCCCCUGGCUCAACUGGGGGAGGUCAUGCGAGACUGCACGGCUGGAGGGCAGUAGAGGCACAUGGAACUCCCGGUGUAGCGGUGGAAUGCGUAGAGAUCGGGAAGAACACCAAUGGCGAAGGCAGCUCGCUGGGACGGUACUGACGCUGAGACGCGAAAGCGUGGGGAGCAAACAGG